UACGUAGGGUGCGAGCGUUAAUCGGAUUUACUGGGCGUAAAGCGCGCGUAGGCGGCAUGGCAAGUCAGGUGUGAAAGGCCACGGCUUAACCGUGGGACUGCACUUGAGACUGCUGUGCUAGAGUUCGGUAGAGGGUAGUGGAAUUCCCGGUGUAGGGGUGAAAUGCGUAGAGAUCAGGAGGAACACCGAUGGCGAAAGCGGCUCUCUGGACUGUCACUGACACUGAGGCUCGAAAGCGUGGGUAGCAAACAGG
rnacentral:rRNA from 1 species